rnacentral:rRNA from 1 species
AAGUAAAAGUCGUAACAAGGUUUCCGUAGGUGAACCUGCGGAAGGAUCAUUAUUGAAAUAAACCUGAUGGGUUGUUGCUGGUUCUCUAGGGAGCAUGUGCACGCCUUGUCAUCUUUAUAUCUCCACCUGUGCACCUUUUGUAGACCUUCCAGGUCUAUGUUGCUCCAUUUACCCCAAUGUAUGUUAAUAGAAUGUUGUGUUUAUAAAAUCUAUACAACUUUCAGCAACGGAUCUCUUGGCUCUCGCAUCGAUGAAGAACGCAGCGAAAUGCGAUAAGUAAUGUGAAUUGCAGAAUUCAGUGAAUCAUCGAAUCUUUGAACGCACCUUGCGCUCCUUGGUAUUCCGAGGAGCAUGCCUGUUUGAGUGUCAUUAAUAUAUAUAUCAACCUUCUCUUGUUGGAGUGGUUUGGAUGUGGGGGUUUGCUGGCCUCUUAAAAGGUUCAGCUCCCUUGAAAUGCAUUAGCAGAACGGACCUGUUCAUUGGUGUGAUAACUAUCUACGCUAUUGAAUGUGAGGGGAUGUUCAGCUUUCUAACUGUCCUUGGACAAUUUAUCAUUUUAUGUGACCUCAAAUCAGGUAGGACUACCCGCUGAACUUAAGCAUAUCA